CGUAGGUGGCAAGCGUUGUCCGGAUUUAUUGGGCGUAAAGCGCGCGCAGGUGGUUUCUUAAGUCUGAUGUGAAAGCCCCCGGCUCAACCGGGGAGGGUCAUUGGAAACUGGGAGACUUGAGUGCAGAAGAGGAUAGUGGAAUUCCAAGUGUAGCGGUGAAAUGCGUAGAGAUUUGGAGGAACACCAGUGGCGAAGGCGACUGUCUGGUCUGUAACUGACACUGAGGCGCGAAAGCGUGGGGAGCAAACAGGAUU
rnacentral:rRNA from 1 species